rnacentral:rRNA from 1 species
AUGGCGUCCUCUGUUGUCUUGUUUCCAGGCAUUGUUUGGUUCCUAUGCCUCUUCUGCUUCCUUUGCAGCCUACCACUAGCCAUCUGCAACGAAACUGAAAAUGAUAGGCAAGCUCUCCUCUGCUUCAAGUCCCGGCUCUCGGGUCCAGCAGGAGUUUUAGCUUCAUGGAGCAACACGUCCCUGGACGUUUGCGACUGGCAUGGGAUCACCUGCAGCACGGUGUCCCCUCGUCGUGUGAUUGAGCUGGACCUUAAUUCAGAAGGCAUCUCAGGCCCCAUAUCGCCUUGCAUUGCCAACCUGACCUCUCUUGAAAGGCUGCAGCUGUCAAACAAUAACUUCAAUGGUGGCAUACCAUCAAAGCUUGGCCUCCUGAGCCGGCUCCGUGAGCUCAACCUCAGCAAGAACACUUUGGAAGGUAACAUACCGCCAUCUCUGGGUAGCAGCCGUUCUCUUACAUAUGUCAAUCUUGGGAUGAAUGCUCUAACAGGGGUCAUCCCGGAGUCCCUAGCAAAUAGUCCAUCCCUCCAAGUACUUCUGCUCAUGAGCAAUAGGCUUAGUGGAAAACUACCAAAGGCUCUCUUCAACACAUCAUCUCUUCUUGACAUUUUCCUCCAAAAGAACAACCUUGUUGGUUCUAUACCUGUUGUUACUGCCACCUCCCCGCCUAUUCAAUACCUCGAUUUAAGCUAUAAUCAUAUUUCAGGAAAAAUACCUUCCUCGCUAGGGAACCUUUCCUCCCUCAUUGAUCUUCGUCUUACAGAAAAUAAUUUAGUAGGGCAUAUACCAGACAGCUUAGGUCAUAUCUCAACACUGGAGAUACUGACUUUGACAGCCAACAACUUGUCUGGGGCAGUUCCACCAUCUCUCUUCAAUAUGUCAUCAGUGACAUUUCUUGGCGUAGCAAACAACUCGCUUGUUGGAAGGUUACCCUCCAAUAUUGGCUACACACUCCCGAAUAUUCAGGAUUUAAUCCUCUCAUCAAACAAGUUUGAUGGCCCUAUCCCAGCUUCUCUUCCCAAAGCUUACAACCUUCGUCAGCUUUACCUGUAUAAUAACAGCCUAACUGGGUUUAUACCCUUCUUUGGGUCAUUGCCAAAUUUGGAGGAACUUGAUUUGUCAUACAACAAGCUAGAAGCAGGAGACUGGGAAUUUGUCUCUUCACUCGCAAAUUGUACCAGGUUGACUAUGCUGAUGUUGGUUGGGAACAAUCUUCAAGGCGAAAUGCCAAGUUCAAUAGGCAAUCUUUCUGAUAGUCUGGAGUGGCUGUGGUUAAGGGAAAACCAAAUUUCAGGGCCUAUACCACCAGAGAUUGGCAAUCUUAAGAGCCUCCGCAGGUUGUACAUGGAUUACAAUCUUAUCACUGGAAAUAUACCAGCAACAAUUGGUAAUUUGCACAGCUUGGUCCGUCUACCCUUUGGACAAAACAGACUGUCAGGGCAAAUCCCGGAUACUAUUGGUAAUCUGGUUCAGCUAAAUUCUUUGAAAUUGGAUGGGAACAACAUUAGCGGAAGGAUACCUGCGGAUAUAGGACAUUGUAAUCAACUCCAAAUACUCAACCUUGCUCACAACUCACUAGAUGGGAAUAUACCAAGUGAAAUCUUCAAAAUUUCUUCGCUUUCUGAAGAAUUGGACUUGUCACACAAUUACCUAUCUGGGGGAGUGCCAGUGGAAGUUGGCAAUCUCAUUAAUGUGAACAAAAUUAGCAUAUCAGAUAACAGGCUGUCUGGCAACAUCCCAUCCACUCUUGGCCAGUGUGUGGUUCUGGAGUACUUGGAUAUUUCUCAUAACAAUUUGUCCGGAAAGAUUCCACAGUUCCUCACAUCCUUAAGUUCCCUUAAAAAUCUCAACUUAUCCUUCAACAAUUUUGAUGGAGCAGUUCCAGGAGGCGGUAUUUUUAACAAUACUGCUGCAGUGUCAGUUGAAGGAAAUCAUGAUUUGUGUACCAGCAUUCCAACAGGAGGUAUACCUCUUUGUUCAACACAAGUUGACAGAAAAGGGCAACAAAAUGCAUCGGCUCUUUUAACAAUACUGCUGCAGUGUCAGUUGAAGGAAAUCAUGAUUUGUGUACCAGCAUUCCAACAGGAGGUAUACCUCUUUGUUCAACACAAGUUGACAGAAAAGGGCAACAAAAUGCAACAAAGGGUGGAUUUUAUUGACUCAAAAUGA